CACAGGAGCGAUGGUGGCAG
rnacentral:misc_RNA from 1 species